rnacentral:rRNA from 1 species
AUUGAACGCUGGCGGCAUGCCUUACACAUGCAAGUCGAACGGCAGCACGGGUGCUUGCACCUGGUGGCGAGUGGCGAACGGGUGAGUAACAUAUCGGAACGUACCUUAUUGUGGGGGACAACGCAGCGAAAGCUGUGCUAAUACCGCAUAAUCCCUAAGGGGGAAAGCGGGGGACCGUAAGGCCUCGCGCAAUUAGAGCGGCCGAUACCUGAUUAGCUAGUUGGUGAGGUAAAGGCUCACCAAGGCAACGAUCAGUAGCUGGUCUGAGAGGACGAUCAGCCACACUGGGACUGAGACACGGCCCAGACUCCUACGGGAGGCAGCAGUGGGGAAUUUUGGACAAUGGGGGCAACCCUGAUCCAGCAAUGCCGCGUGAGUGAAGAAGGCCUUCGGGUUGUAAAGCUCUUUUGUCAGGGAAGAAACAGCAGCUCUAACACAGUAUGCGAAUGACGGUACCUGAAGAAUAAGCACCGGCUAACUACGUGCCAGCCGCCGCAGUAA